UGGGGAAUAUUGCACAAUGGGCGAAAGCCUGAUGCAGCAACGCCGCGUGAGUGAUGAAGGCCUUCGGGUUGUAAAGCUCUGUCUUCUGGGACGAUAAUGACGGUACCAGAGGAGGAAGCCACGGCUAACUACGUGCCAGCAGCCGCGGUAAUACGUAGGUGGCAAGCGUUGUCCGGAUUUACUGGGCGUAAAGGAUGCGUAGGCGGAUACUUAAGUCAGAUGUGAAAAUCCCGGGCUUAACUUGGGAACUGCAUUUGAAACUGGGUAUCUAGAGUGCGGGAGAGGAAAGUGGAAUUCCUAGUGUAGCGGUGAAAUGCGUAGGGAUUAGGAAGAACACCAGUGGCGAAGGCGACUUUCUGGACCGUAACUGACGCUGAGGCAUGAAAGCGU
rnacentral:rRNA from 1 species